AUGCUAUGUACAACAUUAAACCAAAAUGGCAAUUGGGGAAAGCGAUUUUAUGAGUCCGCACAAUGGAUUUCCAUUUAACCUGUGUUUAUUGACGUUUAAGGCUAUAUAACUGCUCAUGUGAAGAACGAAUAAUAAAAUAAAAAUCGGUAAAAAAUUCAACAGGUCAAAAUCUAUAACAUUAAACCAUGACAGGUUAAACCUAACCUUGUUUUCUUUUUAAAAAUCGCGCCCAACUUGGUAUACCCAUAUUUCGACCUUGGCUGAAACUUGACCCAUGCAUUAAUCUACCUGAG